rnacentral:piRNA from 1 species
AGCCAUUUAAAAUCCAAUGCCUAGCAGUC